UGGCGUGAGGCCUUGGCGGCGGCCAGCUCUGGAGCCCUGGAGUCAGCUCCCACAUUAACUCCAGAGCUCUCAGCCUGCAGGGCCUGGAGGCUCCGGUGCAGG
rnacentral:pre_miRNA from 1 species